GCGAGAGGGAGGGAGGGAGGGAGAGGGAGUUAGAUAGUGAAGGGAUUCAACAAUCAUCACAUGAUUAUCUGGCUGUCGAGUAAUGGUUCCUUCACACAACUACACGCUGUGAUGCUUUCAAAUGAGUUUUUUUUCCCUACUUUAACUCCUAUGUUGAUGCUAGGAUCUGUUUUAUACUUCAUACUUUAUUGGAGUUAACAGUAUCUUGAUUAUGUCCUUUGCUGGCGUGCUAAUGAGAUACUGAAAAAGGGUUGUGCAUCGAUGGCAAACUUUCCCUAUUUACCUUGCUUUCUUUUACUUUUUCUUUUUGAUCUGUUAUCCGUUUAUCCAUGUUGCAUGUAAGGUGUAAUUUCUGGACCUUUUUAGGUGUCAUAAGAGAUAUAAAUGGAACAGAAUUCUUUCCACUAUUGCAAUUGUAAUGUUGCUUGAAUUGACAAAUACGGGCGUGGUUUUUUAUCCCACUAUUGUAUUUGUGUUAUUAAUGAAGCGAAAUGCUUUAAAGGACUUUGUUGGAGUUUUACUUUCUUAUUGAUUCUAAGAUCUGCACUUGUCAACAUAAAUGCUCUUGAAUGUGAAAGGGAAGAUAUAGAACAGAAUCUUUUUAAAUUUCAUUGAAGCUACACAUACAUAGAUUUUUUUGGAGAUUAUGUUUGUGUGAUACCGAAAUGAAACGCAUGAUAUUCUUUCACCUUUCCUUCUAAUAUUGAUCUAUUUUGAUUUUGAUUUGAUAGCUUGUAUAUGUGCUGUAGUUCGGGGAACUUCUUAGGUAUUGAUCAGGAUAUAAAUAGCAAAUUUUCGCUCACAAUUAUACCAAGCAUGUUUCUGUUACUUGACAAUGCCAUUAAAUAAAUGGUUUAUUAUACAUUAAUUCAUCAGCGUAUAAUCAUCUGACUAUUUCUUCUAAACCAAAAGAUAGAUUUGCUCUCAUGUCAUCAUUAGAUAUAUUGUUUUUACUUUUUAAAUACUUCUAUGUUAGUUGCCUUUUUCUUUAGUUUAUCCCACUGACAGUGAUCAUAUUUCAGCUUGAGAUUUUAGGCUGGUAAAUAGGUUGGGCCAGCUCAUUGUCAACUGGUAACGUGCACUUACUAAAUUAUGACCUUUUUUUUAAGUCCCAGAUGAUAUACUUAACAGUUUUAGAUUGCUUGUCACAGUUGUGUUCAAUGCUGCCACUAUAAGUAGCUCACUGAGAUUGUAAAAAUGUUAGUUUAUUUAGUUUGUCACCCAACCUUGCCAAUAACAAACUAGUUAUCAAGUUGCUUUUGACAGCUUUAUAUUUACUUGCUGCGUGCAAUGUGACUAUCUGGGAUUCCUCUGAUUUGAACCCUGCUGUGGUCUAAAGUCUGAUCCUUUUCGUUCUGCUAGCUAGAUUGACGAAUUGACUACCUUCUUUGGAUCCAAGAUUAAUGCAAUGGCUUAUCCCUUUUUAUGCUGGAAAUCCGAGGGCUGAUAGAUUUGACAAGGACUAUCCCCCCUUCCCCAUCUCUCUUUACGUAUAUUGUGAUAUAUAUUUCUUCGCCUUCUAUUUUGGUUCUGGUUUUUCUUCAUGCAGGUUUUUAUUAAGGACAUGACUUCAGUAAAGUUCCAUAGGACUUUGCUUCGGAAGCAUAUGUUUGAGGUAAAUUUUUUUUUUCAAGGCUUAUUUAUGUGGUGCUGAGCUAUAAAAUAUGACUUAUCAUGUUUUUAUUGGAAUAGCUUGAUAGCAAAGACCUAAAAAAUGUACUUAUUGAUAGCAAAGACCUAAAAAAUGUACUUAAGUUUUGUCCUUUUGUUAAAAGAAAUCCUGAAAGUGUUUUUGAAAUUUGUAAUUUGAAACCUAAAAUGGUGAGAUAUUUGUAUCUUAGAAAAAUUAACUGGAAACUACAUUAAUGAUGUUUCUAUGUUCUUAUUCUGUAGUUCAGUGUCCUCUGCCAGUGAGUUAUUGUCUGUCCUAACUGCUUGAUGAUAGCCUGAAUGUUUAUUUAUGAAGAAAGAGUGGCCUCUGCCAGUGGGUUAUUGUCUGUCCUAACUGCUUGAUGAGAGCCUGAAUGUUUAUUUAUAUAACGAAGAGGUAAUUACUCAAAUGAAGUAAUAUCUCAAUCUUGAUUUCAGUUUAAAAGAUUUCCAUUCUGGUAGAUAAAAAUUUAUCAGUGACUGAUCUCUUAAGCAAACUUAUUGCUCAACAAUAAUGAUGUUCCCAUGUUCUUAUUCUGUAGGUUAGUGGCCUCUGCCAGUGAGUUAUUGUCUGUCCUAGCUGCGCGAUAAUUGCCUGAAUAUUUUUUAUAUGAAGAAGAGUUAAUUAGGAAGUAUUAAUACUUCUGUAAUCAGUUACUUUUUUGACUUGCUUUCUGUUCUGGGCAUGGAGUUACGAAAUGUUAGACUUGAUGUUGACGAUGCUGCUGCUUACAAAAAAUGUAAUGGCAAUAUUCAAUCACGAGGUGUCUCAAAAUGAUUCCUCAGGAAUAUACUAGAAGUGGAACCAUUAACUAGGUCAAAAAGGAAUAGAACUUCUGAUCAUUUUUUGGGCUUUUAAAAAUCCUUUCUUUUUUUGACUUUUAAGGUGCUUCAUUAUGGUUUUGUCUCCUUGGGCUAGAGAAUAUAUGAAGGCAUCUGUACCAUAAUCCACUGUUGGAAUUUGCUGAACUGCAUCAUGUGACAAAAAGAUAGAAUAAGAAGUUUCUAGAUUACAGGUAUAUAAUCUCAAAAAGUCUUGUAGGAAUUACUCCUGAUGAAUUUGUUGUACCCUUUGGAGAAGAUAAAGCUUUGAUGAUUUGUCAAUUUUAGGGUUCGGUUUGUCUGCAGCCUCUGCAGUGCAAUUGUUCAGCCGCAGUCCACACUUUGAAGCAGCUUCAUCAAUGGGAUCCAAUUGUUUAUCAUGUUAUCAUCCACUAAAUACAACAACAAUAAUAUCCCUUAUCCCAUUAGAUGAAAUUGACUAAAUGAAUUGUACGACGUCAUUGUACUCUAUUCUUUAAUAAAUUUGAUAUGCUAAUGCUAUACAUAUAUCGUGAUUGUGCAGUGAACUUUCUCUCAAGACUUGCAUACUCCUGCAAGAAAGAGAAGGAAAGGAAUGGUUAGAAGAGAGAGAGGGGAGAUGGUUAUGUAGUCAGCCGAGAAAGGGGGGGGCGAGGACUGGUUAGAAUCUGGUGACCGCUUUUUUCUCUCUCUUGAGGAUGAUGCAGUUGCAAGUGGGGAUCUAAUCUCAGUGAAACUUAUGCUUACAUGUAUUGUGUCUUUUUAAAGAUUAACUUGAUGUAUAUUUUUUUUAUGACUAUUGAAUAAUAGAGAGAGUUUUUUU